rnacentral:lncRNA from 1 species
UAAUUAGGAAGUGCUGGAGUUACUGACUGAAUUUUCCCAGGCUCUGCCUAGACAAACAGACUCUCACUUUGUGGCUAAGACUGACUUCAAACUCAAGAUCCCCCUGCCUCAACUUGCUGAGGGUUACAGAAACCAGCAAAAUGGAAGGCAUCAACUGAGCUGCCGUUGCCGUGUGUGGGUAGAUGGUGUCAAGACAGAAGCUCUGUGUUUUGACUAGACUUCCCCGAGGAACUUUCACACCAGUGGAAAGUCACAAGAAGACCGUCUCCAGCACAGCGUUGAGCACUGGAGAAGCCCCACGGGAUUCUUUACCCUGCUUCCUACCACUCGCUCUGUCUGCUCAGUGAUCAUCGGAGUCCCUGACACCAGAGAAAGAGAUAAAAGAGCACACUGGAGAUGG